GCAUGUGUUUUGCCACCUCGUCCAUGUAAGUAUGGUCUUUCCAUUUUGUGUUUGCUUGCAAAUUGCACAUAUGAUGCAUGGGCAUGGACAUCUAUGUGGUUGCUCUAAGAUUUGUGGUUUGGUUUCUUCACCUACUGUUAAUGGUUGUUUUAUGUUUUUCCUUUGAUUUUCUUUAUGCUACGUGUUUAUAAAUUGAUUGAAAGCAUGAUGUGCUGAUGUGUGGUGUGCUCUUUAAUAAAAUUGGCUAGUUGUACGCUCAAAUAGUUUUUAGACUUCUUUGUUUGAUGAUUUUAUCCAAAUAGCUAACUAAAUACGUUGAUUUACAUGAUGCCCAAAUUUUGCUAAAGUGUGGUUUGGACUAUGCGCAUGUUGUUUACUGGUAUCAUCAAUU
rnacentral:misc_RNA from 1 species